UGAGGUUUCACAUCCUUCAAAGUGAAGUGAUGGAUUUAAUAAGGGAUUUUCCCCUUACGGUAAUUUAAAAAAAAUUACACUUUUACGGUUUUUCUUAUUUUGUUCCAUUUUUAUAUUUUGAUUUUUUUACUUUUACAUUAAAAUAGAACUUUUAUUUUCAUUUUUACUCUCUAAACCCUUUUUCUUUUGUUUCUGUGUUUCUCACGCUCAAUUCUCUCUGGUUUCAAACACUCCAGACGUUCUCUUAUCUCAUUUUCACAUUUGUUGGGCAAGCUUGCAACCACACAGAGCACACGACCCCCCUCUCUAUUAUUUUCUCUUUGGCAACCACCACCAUGACCUCUCCAAUGACUUGUCAAACUAGUUCCUCGGCAAGGUUGCAACCACAUAGAUUCUAACCCUCUGUUUCUUCUUUUCUUUUCGGCAACUACCACCACGAUCUUUCGACUCUUGAGAAUCUCGUGUUCCAAGCAGUGCAUCUUCUCAUGGCUUUGGUUUCCAUGAGUUACUCUCCAAGCUCUCUUUCGCUUCUAUUUUUGUGAGUUGUUUUCAUGCCCAUGGCUUUACGUUACUUUCCAAGAAAUCUUACAGUCCUUAUAACUUUAUGGUUCUAGUAUGCAAAUUUGUUUGCUAUUGUGGGCCGCCAAAUGCUUGUUGAAUUGUCUCAGUUGUAGGGUUGUGUGUUUUGAGUUCUUUUGGGCACAAUUGGCUUUUGUAUAGUUUUUUUGUAUGAUCCUCAACCAAAGCCUUAGCUUGUUGAUUUGAGUCCUCAAUCUCAGCAACUCGUCUCCCUGAUGGUCUCUGUCUCACCUCUAGAUAUCUUAUUGGUACUCUAUUUUUCUACACAACUGAUUUUAUUGGAGGCAUAAUUAAGCUAUGAUCCUCACUGUCGUGAAACUUUUCAGGUUUAGUUUUGGGGAUUUAUUUGAACAUGGGUUCAGCUAUCUGUCUCACCACUUUCAAAAGUUCAUUAGUCUCUUCUCAUUGCUUGUACAUUGGUCAUUCCUCCUUUCAACAAGCUCAAAGAAAAUCUGUUUUCUAUUAUUGAUUUUAUUUAGAGUUAAAAAGGCUUGGUCAAUCUCAUACUAAGAUUGUGGAAGCAGCUCAUAGUCUCAUAACUGCUAGAUACUUCUAUAUAAUUAGUUGAUUAUAUGUAUUGCUUUACUAUAAAUGGAUUGGUAAUUAAUGAACUCCUGUAUAAGAUACUGGUGUUUGAGAUAAAAGAAGAAGCUUCUCAAAGUGGUUAACGGAGCAAUAAUGAUUAUGAUUUUGUGUGUUUCUAUUUUUUUGGUUCUUGUAGAAAAAAUGAAACAGUACAAAGCUUCCUUUUUAACUUUGUCAAGUUGAUGGCUACAAGUUGAAAGAUUUAGUUUUAGCCUUCAUCUAAAAAGAGAUUCAAUUUUUUUUCUAA